rnacentral:rRNA from 1 species
GUGUCACCGCCGCGGUAAUACCGGCAGCCUGAGUGAUGGCCGAUCUUAUUGGGCCUAAAGCGUCCGUAGCUGGCCGCACAAGUCCAUCGGGAAAUCCACCUGCCCAACAGGUGGGCGCCCGGUAGAAACUGCGUGGCUUGGGACCGGAAGGCGCGACGGGUACGUCCGGGGUAGGAGUGAAAUCCCGUAAUCCUGGACGGACCGCCGAUGGCGAAAGCACGUCGCGAGAACGGAUCCGACAGUGAGGGACGAAAGCCAGGGUCUCGAACCGGAUUAGAAACCCCCGUAGUCC